CUUGACCCUUCGUGCUCCCAUUCGCCCUUUCUCUCUGGAUCCCCUCUUCUCUCCCACGAUCCUCUCUCUCUUCCCCAACUGCCGCCGCCACCAUCGUCGCCUGGUACCGGCCAGUUCCGGCGAAGUCCGUCACCAUCCAGCACAUCCACGAGGUCAUCUUGUGACGCUGCUCCUUCUCCACCGGGUUGAUCCAUCGCGCCGCUCCUCUACGAGCGGCCCCGGCUAACCCUAGCACCGCGGUCAUCGGUGCACUACACGGCGUCGCCAUGGACGCCGGCGCUGCGCCUGCGGCUCCGAUCGGUCCUCGCCGACACCGCCUAAGUCCUCCCGCACUGCAUCGCCUCCUGGUCGUUGUUCCAGGCGCCUCCAUCGACUGGAGGAACGAUGGGCCCUCGUCCUUGUGCCAGUGCGCGUCCGUGAAGGAAACAAACCGUGAUGUGCCGCCUCAGAUCCACUGUGUGAAGGCAGCGGGGGAUGGAUCACAAGGGGAGAGGUGCAGUCCUCCAGAGCUAUUGGAUCCCAAAAUUGGAAGAUGAUGGCGAUAUGUUGCGAGGAUGAGUGCUUCUCCAUUUUCUGUUCUGUAUGUGGUGGUCGACGUUUGUACCUCGCUCGGGCUAAUUUCUUUGGUGCACGGGCUUUCAGAUCUAAGGUUCACCGGCACACAAGGUAUAUCCUAAGCCGUUAAUCGGUCCUACUCUACUGCAGAUCCCUGCUAUUGUUGUUCAGUGUCUUGCUUGCAAUACGAAUGGGUACCUCCAGAGUCACUUGGUUGUUUGAUGCAUUCGUGCUCGUCGGCGGGACGGUGCAAGGCGCAACUCCGAUGCGGUUCCUCACCGGUUGGACGGCGUUCAGGCGCAACCCCGGUGCUCACUGAGUACUGCCUCGGCUACAACCUCCCACGGUGAGGUAAAAAACGACUACGAUCGGAUUCCCUGGCUCCUCAGCGAUUUGGGCCUCCUGGCCGUUAGAUUCGUUUGCUUGAUGUGAUUCCAGCCGUCGGAUCGAGCAGUGGGAUGACCUGCGCCGUCGGAUUGAUUCGUUGCUCCUGUCGCAAUGAAAGUCACCGUUUCCCUGGGUUUUCGCUUACUCCACCGUUUUGAGCGUAUUUCGCUGGCGUGUGGGGUUUCCGGCGUGUGGGCCGCCUUGUUCAGUGACCGUGGCUAUGUGUUUUGGCUGUGUGGCCCGUGGGGCGCGUGGGCUGGCAAAUAUCUUGUGCCACCGCAAGAAAUAACGUACCCCCACAGAGGGUAUUUUGGUCUUUUCACGUUUUGGCCUUGUGCGUGGUGGACGGUGGUUGGCCCGUGCGUGGAUGAGGUGGGGGAGGGCACCAGCUUGCCCUUUCGUGCUCCCAUUCGCCCUUUCUCUCUGAAUCCCCUCUUCUCUCACACGACCCUCUCUCUCGUGUUGGGGCGAUGAUGAUUAGCCGUGGCUGGAAAAAAGUGUGCCUUUGAGCAAUCGGGGCACCUGUGGGUAUCAAGUUGAAUCCUCCCUCUUGUCUCUAGAAUCCUUUUUGAUCCUGUGAUACUUGUUGCUCUGUCCUUGGAUGGUCAUUCUUGUUGAGUGAUAACCAGGGCAACUCCAUUGUAUAAACAGAUUGAUCUGGUGAUAAGAGACGGGGGUAGGUUAUAUGAUCGAGGCAAGUCAGAUCUGAGCCCACUAUGCAAUGAACCCUGGACCCUUUUAUUUGUAUUUAAAGGUGUUGCUUAUUUAUGCUCCACUGCUUAUAGUCGUCUUAUGUAAAGAUUUCUUCUCUCUCAUACCUUUAUUGCAUACGAGUUGUUCUUGAUCUUUUAUUGUUUGUUGUUGGUCCUUGAUUUAAUCUGGUUAAGAGUAAGUUGUACUUUGUUAUACUAGAAAGACUCGCUCCCAACAAGUUAUCGGAGCCGCUCUUGUUGCCUUGAGUUUGUAUGGUAAAAAUAUGCCUUGGCAUGAGGGUGCCGGUCCCAACGUUUUGGUCAGGCGAAUACUAGAAAAACUCGCAGGUUCGGCCCUGGAGGUUCUCAGGUUCGACUCCGAGAGCUGCUCGCUUUCCGAGGAGCCCCUGGUGCAUCGCUGCCCGACCCCUUUUUUUGCUUUAAUUUUGGUUGGGCUUCAGAUUCGAUCGUGGGUUGACCUGGGUCUGGGUGUGCUUCCUUCUCUUUGUGUUUGUGCUACAGGCGAGGAUUGUGCUCGGAGAGGACCCACACGACGCUCCGCUUGCCGUCGUGGUGCACCCCUUUUGAAAUUUCCCGAGAUAGCUGAUUGGUGCUACAUGAUACAGUGGUGUUCUCCAACAUCUUCCAUGUCCAUAAACUAUGGUUUAUUUGUUGGUCUAAUUAUCUCUUGCUUAUCAGUACGGAGACUACAAUUUGUUCAGUCGUAAAUAAGAUGUCUAACUCCAAGUUGAAGUAUUAUCAGACUUUAUUUUUUAUAGUGUUUGAUAAACCGGUGGUUUAUAGUACCAUGGGAAUUUGUCUCAUACGUAGUAUGUGGUUCCUUAUAAAAAUAUGCCAAUCGUGUUGAAACAAGUAAUUUAUCUAGCUACACAUGCCCUUUCUGAUGCAUUGCGGGUUUGCUAUCAAACUCUCAAAAAGAAAGAACAACUUUAUUUUGUUUUGUUGGGAAACCUUUCUGUAGUCACUACCUUGACAGAGACAACUAUGUAAUCGAGGAUAUAUUUGGUGGGUUUUCAGGCAAAGCUUAGCGGAUAUUUUUAUAGGUUCAGCGCUUGCUUUAUGCUUUGAUAACUUUAAAUUCCUUUUGUUCUUUGGAUUAUCAUAGCAUACUCGUCUCUUCUAAUCCUAGCAAGGGCAUUCUUCAUGUUUACAGAUAGUUUGGCGCUCUCAUGGUUCUUUUCGAGAGAUUGUUCUUCCGAGCAUUAUUUGGUAACCAUCUACUGUAGAUCAUCUACUGCCCUUAUGACCUGAGCCCGCAGGAAUCGAUGCUGCUGCGUGACGUGGAGCCCAUGCCCGACCCCGACGACGGCGGUCGACCACAACCUCCCUCUCCGGAGAAGCUCAGGCUGCCACCACACAAAGGGAGAGGAGCCCAAGAUGAAUCUAUCCCGCCUUACUGUCAAUGACCCAACGACAGAGACAGCUACUUCGGGCCUAGGUGAGUAGCCGCCAGCCCUGCAUUUCGAGCCUAGGUAACCAAGUUUGUGUCUACUUCUAUGAUUAGUUGCUUAUGCUUCAUGGUCUUUGUGAAACACAACAUGAUGCCUUGUUGGUUCCUGGGCAAGGCCUUUUGGGACCGAUCUCUCUAGCGUUAAAGAAAGCAAGAUUGAUGCUCUGUUUUCUCUAUUUUUGUUGGGUUGGAACAGAGUGGGUUACCGAUCCCAUAUGCCAGUAUAUAGGAAGAACAAAAAAACUUUAGUUGAUUUACCUUUUAACCUAAAUUUAUAUAGGAAACUUAUACUAACCUUUAUCUCAGUUAGUUGCACCAGUUUGCAUGUAUUUCAGUUGUGGCUCCUUUAUUCUAAGUUAGCUGCAUCAUCUUGCAGUUAUUAGUGUUCUUCCAUGCCUACUUACAUGAGUGUGUCACUUAUAUUGUUCAUGGUGUAUGCCACCUGAUCAUUGUACAACCAUUGUUGCCUAUCAAUAAAUUUUGGGGUAAUGGAGACAUUGAUCGUCUUUCUCGGACAAUAUAUGGUUUGACUUCUUGUUGUUACAUUUUUGUUUGCGUCAGAAUUAUAACAUGUAUUUGGUUAUUGCAACAGGUAGCUUAUUUACCCCCUAAUUCCCUUUACUUUUGUUUGAUACUGUGUACAUAUCAAUGUUUAGUCACUUGAAUUCAGAACAAAGAUAUGGUACACCGGACACGAAAGAAAGGAGUAGAUAGAUAUACAGAUUCAGAUGAUAUAGUUUCUGUAGAUGCGAAGCACGGAAGUUCUAGGUAAAAGUGAAUCUGUUAGGGGGAAAACGAAGGCUUGUGUGCCUAUUAGUUAUUUUUUUGUUUUAUCAUUAUCGGCACCUUAUCUAUCUGUAACAUGUGUGACCUGUGCAACUGCAAAAGGGCAAUAAAAAUUCUGUGUAACACAUGUUUUGUA